UACGGGGGGAGCAAACGUUGUUCGGAAUUACUGGGCGUAAAGGGCGCGUAGGCGGUCCUGUAAGUGGUGUGUGAAAUCCGAUGGCUCAACCAUCGAGCUGCGCUCCAUACUGCAGGACUUGAGUACAGCAGAGGAAAGUGGAAUUCCCGGUGUAGCGGUGAAAUGCGUAGAUAUCGGGAGGAGCACCGUUGGCGAAGGCGACUUUCUGGGCUGCUACUGACGCUGAGGCGCGAAAGUCAGGGGAGCGAACAGG
rnacentral:rRNA from 1 species